rnacentral:rRNA from 1 species
AUUGAACGCUGGCGGCAGGCCUAACACAUGCAGGUCGAGCGGAUGAGAGGAGCUUGCUUCUCGAUUCAGCGGCGGACGGGUGAGUAAUGCCUAGGAAUCUGCCUGGUAGUGGGGGACAACGUUUCGAAAGGAACGCUAAUACCGCAUACGUCCUACGGGAGAAAGCAGGGGACCUUCGGGCCUUGCGCUAUCAGAUGAGCCUAGGUCGGAUUAGCUAGUUGGUGAGGUAAUGGCUCACCAAGGCGACGAUCCGUAACUGGUCUGAGAGGAUGAUCAGUCACACUGGAACUGAGACACGGUCCAGACUCCUACGGGAGGCAGCAGUGGGGAAUAUUGGACAAGGGGCGAAAGCCUGAUCCAGCCAGGCCGCGUGUGUGAAGAAGGUCUUCGGAUUGUAAAGCACUUUAAGUUGGGAGGAAGGGUUGUAGAUUAAUACUCUGCAAUUUUGACGUUACCGACAGAAUAAGCACCGGCUAACUCUGUGCCAGCCGCCGCCGUAACAC